CAGCAGCCGCGGUAAUACGUAGGUGGCAAGCGUUGUCCGGAAUUAUUGGGCGUAAAGGGCUCGCAGGUGGUUUCUUAAGUCUGAUGUGAAAGCCCCCGGCUCAACCGGGGAGGGUCAUUGGAAACUGGGAAACUUGAGUGCAGAAGAGGAGAGUGGAAUUCCACGUGUAGCGGUGAAAUGCGCAGAGAUGUGGAGGAACACCAGUGGCGAAGGCGACUCUCUGGUCUGUAACUGACGCUGAGGAGCGAAAGCGUGGGGAGCGAACAGGAUUAGAUACCCCUGUAGUCCCUGUCUCUUAUAC
rnacentral:rRNA from 1 species